rnacentral:rRNA from 1 species
GAUGAACGCUGGCGGCGUGCCUAAUACAUGCAAGUCGAGCGAACGGACGAGAAGCUUGCUUCUCUGAUGUUAGCGGCGGACGGGUGAGUAACACGUGGAUAACCUACCUAUAAGACUGGGAUAACUUCGGGAAACCGGAGCUAAUACCGGAUAAUAUUUUGAACCGCAUGGUUCAAAAGUGAAAGACGGUCUUGCUGUCACUUAUAGAUGGAUCCGCGCUGCAUUAGCUAGUUGGUAAGGUAACGGCUUACCAAGGCAACGAUGCAUAGCCGACCUGAGAGGGAGAUCGGCCACACUGGAACUGAGACACGGUCCAGACUCCUACGGGAGGCAGCAGUAGGGAAUCUUCCGCAAUGGGCGAGAGCCUGACGGAGCAACGCCGCGUGAGUGAUGAAGGUCUUCGGAUCGUAAAACUCUGUUAUUAGGGAAGAACAUAUGUGUAAGUAACUGUGCACAUCUUGACGGUACCUAAUCAGAAAGCCACGGCUAGCUACGUG